rnacentral:rRNA from 1 species
UACGAAGGGGGCUAGCGUUGUCCGGAAUCAUUGGGCGUAAAGAGCGUGUAGGCGGUCCGGUAAGUCCGCUGUGAAAGUCGGGGGCUCAACCCUCGAAUGCCGGUGGAUACUGUCGGGCUAGAGUGCGGAAGAGGCGAGUGGAAUUCCUGGUGUAGCGGUGAAAUGCGCAGAUAUCAGGAGGAACACCUAUUGCGAAGGCAGCUCGCUGGGACGUAACUGACGCUGAGACGCGAAAGCGUGGGGAGCAAACAGG